GGGGAAGGCACGUAGCUCAGUGGCAAAGCAUCCGCUUUGCAUGCAAAAGGCCCCAGGUUCAAUCCCUGGCAUCUCCA